rnacentral:rRNA from 1 species
GCUUAGCCAUUAACCCUAAUAUAUUUCCACACAAAUAUAUUCGCCAGAGAAUUACUAGUGAAAAACUUAAAACUCUAAGGACUUGACGGUACCCCAUAUCAACCUAGAGGAGCCUGUCCUAUAAUCGACACCCCACGCUAUACCUUACCCCCUCUCGCAAUCAGCCUAUAUACCGCCGUCGUCAGCCCACCUCAUGAGAGAUCAAAAGUGGACAAAAUUGUCAACCACAAAAACGUCAGGUCAAGGUGUAGCUAAUGAGGCGGAAAAAGAUGGGCUACAUUCUCCAAAACAGAGGACACGCACGAUAUAAUGAAACUUAUAUCUUAAGGCGGAUUUAGAAGUAAAUAAAGAAAGAAAACCUAAUUGAACCCUGCUCUGGGGUGCGU